AGUGAACGCUGGCGGUAGGCCUAACACAUGCAAGUCGAACGGCAGCACAGGAGAGCUUGCUCUCUGGGUGGCGAGUGGCGGACGGGUGAGGAAUACAUCGGAAUCUACUCUGUCGUGGGGGAUGACGUAGGGAAACUUACGCUAAUACCGCAUACGACCUACGGGUGAAAGCAGGGGACCUCCGGGCCUUGCGCGAUUGAAUGAGCCGAUGUCGGAUUAGCUAGUUGGCGGGGUAAAGGCCCACCAAGGCGACGAUCCGUAGCUGGUCUGAGAGGAUGAUCAGCCAAACUGGAACUGAGACACGGUCCAGACUCCUACGGGAGGCAGCAGUGGGGAAUAUUGGACAAUGGGCGCAAGCCUGAUCCAGCCAUACCGCGUGGGUGAAGAAGGCCUUCGGGUUGUAAAGCCCUUUUGUUGGGAAAGAAAUCCAGCUGGCUAAUACCCGGUUGGGAUGACGGUACCCAAAGAAUAAGCACCGGCUAACUUCGUGCCAGCCGCCGCCGCCG
rnacentral:rRNA from 1 species